rnacentral:lncRNA from 1 species
AUGAAAGUGGAAUCAGCUGUUGGGACUUGCCUCUUCUUCACCCUCAAAGAUUUGUUCUGCAGGUAUUCCUGUCUGCAACCCAGUUCCAUCUCCUCUGUCUCUAUCCUGACCUUCCAGAUGUCACUUUCUCCAGCUCAUACUUGCUUGUCUCUGCAUUUCCUGAUUUUACUGAAACAUUUUCUGAUUUUACUGAAACAAUGGGCCAACCUGUCCCUUUUAAAAGUGGUUGCACUUCAUUUUGCUCCCAGCCAAGCUACGAGAACCAGCAUUUCCCUUUGGCUCAUCAGCAAGACUGUCUCAGCCCCUUAUGGCACUACCUGACCUCUUCCAUGCUAGCUUGAUUGAAAACUUGAACAGAGCUGGUGUUGGUUCCAUGAAAACUAAGCCACUAUGAGAGCAACCUGGGGCAGAGAAGCACCUAGCUCCAGGGAAGCAGUGCUUGGGUAGUGCUGUGUAUUCCCCCUAAAACACUUUUCUCCAUAGAUUCUCAGACAAGAUCUACAGGACUGUGAUGCUUCUAUAGACCAGAUAAACAGCCAAAUACCUCAAGAAAAAGGGCCAAAUAUCACAAUUUUGUGGGUAAAAUGCAGCAAACCCAGAACUGGGAGCUCUGAUAUUGUAGCCACCUGCUCAUCCCCUGCCUGGAAGUUCCUGUGCUUCUACUGAGACUGGAGGUAGGGCUCAAAUUACUUCCAGUGGAACUUGUCAGUUAGUGUCUUUUCCUCCUGUGGCACUCUCAUCCAGCCUGUGCAGCUCCAGGCACAUCUCACUGGGGUGCUGAAGAUGGGAGUAGAGUAGGAGGUCUGCACCCAACUUGGAUCACAAAGUCAUGAAGUUCAACAUCAGGAUACAGAUGCAUCAGGAUGCAUCCAGAGCAAGGGUCUGUCCUCCUGUGUGGUGCUGGGAAUCCAAGCCUGUCCCUGUGGUAUUUUGUAUGGCUUUGUUGUGCCAAAAGAGUAUGGGACAAGGUCCUUGAUGGAUGACUCUUGGUUAGGACUGGACCAUAGGCAUGAUAUUAGUCUAAAAGAAAUGCUUCUUAGGAAUAUCUGUGUGGGAAACACACUCAGGAAGAAGCACAGAGCAUAAGGGAGCAACAGCACGUUCUCCACCCGUUCCCUGGCAUGGCAGGGAGCUGCCUUUGGUACCCUGGCAGGGCACAGGGAGCAGCUUCCAAAAGAGACCACAGGGAAGCACAUGGACUGGAAAAGCUGUAUUUCCUAAAAGAGAGGUAUUCCAGGCAGGACCUGACCUUCAGUGGGAGUUUAUUUCGAAACUGGGGUGUUCAUUCAAGCAACUGGCAAAAAUCCACAUGCUUACACCACAGCAAAAACACCUUUUCUCUCUGUCACUUGCCUCCAUGGUGCUGGUACUUUAGGAACAAAUUGCUCAUCCUCUCUUUUUAACUUAGCGUGCCAACAGCAAGAGGAAAGUCAGACAAUCACCUUGUCACCUCCCACAUAGUUAUAUUUUAUAAGAGGGAAGAACCAAUCACUUGCUCCCGUCUUCAUUUUUGUGAUGCUCCCUGUAAGCAUAGAUCCUGGCUUGAUGGAUUUUUCACCUUAUGUUCAUGAAAACACCUUCUCCAGAGGAAAAGCUUUACCCGUAGGUAAAGACUCUGAGGGCAAAAAUUGUGCACAUAAUCUUGUUUGCAACAGGAAGAAAUGCACUAAAUAUAAGCUGCUGUCCUACACUUCUUCUGUGGGAAAUACCAGCACAUUCAUCUACUGUAAAAAUGUACUGAUCCAGUAAAGAAUACAUAAGAAAAUGUUAUUUCAAAUAAAUAAAAAGUUAUAGAAGUUACA